rnacentral:rRNA from 1 species
UACGUAGGGCGCAAGCGUUGUCCGGAUUUAUUGGGCGUAAAGAGCUCGUAGGCGGUCUGUCACGUCGGCUGUGAAAACCCGAGGCUCAACCUCGGGCCUGCAGUCGAUACGGGCAGACUAGAGUGCGGUAGGGGAGACUGGAAUUCCUGGUGUAGCGGUGAAAUGCGCAGAUAUCAGGAGGAACACCGGUGGCGAAGGCGGGUCUCUGGGCCGUAACUGACGCUGAGGAGCGAAAGCUAGGGGAGCGAACAGG